rnacentral:lncRNA from 10 species
UAAAAACAAGCACCAUCUUCAUACCUGCUGAAAUCUAAUUCUCAUCCAGAGGGAUGUGAGGAAUAAAGGGGGCAGUGAUACCAACAGCGGGCGUAGACAGCCCAUCCAUCCCACGCAGGUAAUGAAGCUGAUGCUUAGAGAGGUUGAGUAAUCCACCCAUGUCUCUCUGACCCAGGUCUGACCACCAUACUAUUGCCUGCAGAUGAAGAGGAGCAACAUAUUGUAUCCUGUGUUGCUCAAGAGAGCAGAAUUAGGACUUAGAAUAGCCUUCUAAGAAUUGCUCUGUGCCACCAAAUGGGUGGCAGACUUCUAGACAAGUUUUCUAAACUUGUCAGCCUCAACUACAAGUGAGCUGGUGAGAGAAAACAAACAUCACUAUCCAGGGGCUUUUGCUGGACUUACUGAAUGUAACAGAGAUCGGAUUGGAUUGUCUCUAAUGUCUGUUUCACGAAUAGAGUUCUGUAAAUAGU